ensembl:lncRNA
GGAAUAUACUAUAGAAGUGCACACCGUUUCCCAUAGCCUUUUACAUCUGUAAAGUUUUCAAGUCCCUGUGAGGAACCUACGAUCGUAUCUACGAGCGUCUGUAGACGGUGGCGUAGGCGUCCGCCGACGUACUCCGACACGAUGUGAACCUGUGUCCUAAGAGGCGGGGUCACGUGCACGCGCGAGCCGGAGUGUGCGGAAAAAGAAAAAAGGAAAAAAGAAAGAAAGAAAGCCUCAUGAUUCGUGUGUAGUAGAGAGUGUAGGACGGAGGAAAUAAACGCUCUGAUCGACUUGGGUGCGAUAGAGAGUUGCUUACGUUGUGCUCGAUAAUUUGUCCCGGCGUUACUCGGAAAUAUCCAGGAUGUCGGAAAUACGCGUUUUUCAAAAAGAGCCGCUUAACGCACAGCAUCCCUCCUGCUUUAUUUCCAGGAAGAAGGGAGCAACGCCGGUCCUGCUGGUUUCCAUCGGCUCGUGUUUGUGUUAACGUCCACCUAGAUGAACUCGACAUCCAUCGCUGCCGGAAGCGAAAUUCUUUCUCUCCCCCCCCCUCCCCCCUCGAAUCCUGCUUCAAGAUAAUUGGCUUUUCUCACCAGAUACAGUGUUGCAUCAGACGAAGGAAGAUGUACAGAAACACCAAUUUUCCGAAACACCGAUUUCGAUUUCAGGGACACUUUAGACACCACGAGGUAAUGAGGAGACCACGGGCCCUGUUCCCACUAGUGCGUUUUAAAAUGAGAACGAUCCUCGUCCGCACCGGCGUUUCUGCCGCGUUUCCGAAACGAUCUCCGCCCACACUACACGACCGAAAACGCGUGUCACAUGACCAUUCAUGCACACACAGGAAGUCGGUUGCUAGUCGAAACCGGCGUUCCACGUAGGGAUUACGCCGCUUUGUUGUCGAUCGCUGUAAUCGUCGCUCGCCUCGUGCGCUUGUAGGCAGCUGCUGUGUUAUGAAAUACAGAAUGUAACUGCACAAGGGCUGCUCGGAAUGACGACAAAGCCUGCAAAGCCUGCGGUUCAGUCUCCGUGUUGUUGUGUAUAUGAUCGACGUAGCGUAACGGUCAUUCUGUAGGGGCUCGACGAAUCAGGGACGGAUACGCGACGACCCAGAAGACCCAAUCGGGGAGCGAGUGUGGGCGGAGCCACGCCUUCGUUUUCGGUCUGUUUAC